UCCUACGGGAGGCAGCAGUGGGGAAUAUUGGGCAAUGGAGGCAACUCUGACCCAGCAACGCCGCGUGAACGAUGAAGGUCUUCGGAUUGUAAAGUUCUUUAAGUGGGGACGAAGAAAGUGACUGUACCCACAGAAUAAGCCUCGGCUAACUACGUGCCAGCAGCCGCGGUAAUACGUAGGAGGCAAGCGUUAUCCGGAAUGACUGGGCGUAAAGGGUGCGUAGGUGGUUUGGCAAGUUGGUAGCGUAAUCCCGGGGCUCAACCUCGGUGCUACUACCAAAACUGCUGGGCUUGAGUGCAGGAGGG
rnacentral:rRNA from 1 species